UACGGAAGGCAGCAGUGGGGAAUAUUGCACAAUGGGCGAAAGCCUGAUGCAGCUAUGCCGCGUGUAUGAAGAAGGCCUUAGGGUUGUAAAGUACUUUCAUCGGGGAGGAAAAAACAAAACUAAUAAUUUUAUUUCUUGACGUUACCCGAAAAAGAAGCACCGGCUAACUCCGUGCCAGCAGCCGCGGUAAUACGGAGGGUGCUAGCGUUAAUCAGAAUUACUGGGCGUAAAGAGCACGUAGGUGGUUUUUUUAAGUCAGAUGUGAAAUCCCUGGGCUUAACCUAGGAACUGCAUUUUGAAACUGAAAUACUAGAGUAUCGUAGAGGGAGGUAGAAUUCUAGGUGUAGCGGUGAAAUGCGUAGAUAUCUGGAGGAAUACCUGUGGCGAAAGCGGCCUCCUAAACGAAUACUGACACUGAGGGUGCGAAAGCGUGGGGAGCAAACAGGGAUUAGGAUACC
rnacentral:rRNA from 1 species